rnacentral:lncRNA from 1 species
AUGCACAGAUCCAGUCAAGAAAGCACAGCUCCAAUUUUGAGCUUGAUCAUGAGAUGCAGAGUACCUUCAUCUGGACUAUUAAAUCAUCGAUGUGAGAAUGUUUCUUUGAUUUGUCAGAGACUGGUGAGAUACAUGGAUAUGGUACCCACCCUGCAUUCAGCAAGAGACAGUCGUUUUAGGCUGAUAAAUGCUAUUUGGUAUCUGAGCCUCCUGGUGACAUCUGCAGGAAGCUGGGUAAGAAGUUUGUACAGCAAAUGCAACCCAUUAUUCUGGAAUGGUGCAUGAUAAUGCUUUCCUAGCACCUCUUCCUGAGUCUCAGCCAAGAUUGCUAAACUUUCUACAGCAGUAGCAGUGGAAAAUACAUUUUUCUGACUUGCCUUGGCUCCCACUGUGAGCUGUGCCCUUGUCUGCCUCUCUCACAGCCUUGCGUAAGGACCUCAGAGAUCAACAAGACCAUCAGCACCAUGCAAGCUGUGGCACAUCCCUGCUGUUAUCACUAGGACGUUAGCUCUUUCUGCUGGGAUAAGAGUGACCAAAUAUAUGACCAAUAGCCCUUCAUUUAGUGUAUUUGCAGUGAGAGCAUAUUUGGCUCACAGUAAUUGUUUCCUUUGAAAUACAAACAUGAACAUCCUGCUUACUUUUGUGCUACUUUCAAAUAGUAUGAUGUUUUACAGACUUUGUUGCCUUUCUUUCAUGCAAUGAACCUGUGAGGUUUUGUUUUUGUUUUGGGUUUUUUUUGAAUAUAGAAAAGUAGAAACCCUGUGUGAAUUAAAGUUUCAGCUUCUGGCUCAACUGUGUUCUCAUUGCAAUCAGUAGGACUUUUACUAUUUACAUAAUUUACAAAGAAAAAAUAUUUAUCUUUAAAUACUCUUAGGGUUUGUUAAGACAGUAAUAAGAAUUAUAAAAACAUGCAUUAAUGUUUUAUAUACAGUUGCCAAAUUACUGGUGUAAUAUUCAGAUGUGAGAGACCUUCUAUUUCCAGAUGCAAAAUAACCCUUUUUCUUAGCAAUUGUUUGUUGUUAUGAAGUGAAAUCGAUUGUGGGAUUUUUUUCUUCCAAAUGCUUACUUAAGCUUGAAACAAAAGUCUCCAGUAGAUGUGGGAUCUGUUUGAGUACAUUACCUCUGAAGAGCUUAUUUGUUUUUGUCUUUUGAGAACUGCAUAGUAUAUCCAGCUCUAUUACUACCCAGUAUUUUUAUAGUUUGUAAUUUGAAGCAGCCUUUGUAACACUCUCUUCUUAAAUGAAGUAUUUUAAAGAAUAAACCAAAUUGUUAUCUGUACUUUGUGUUACCA